rnacentral:lncRNA from 1 species
UAUCACCUGAGGAAUCCCGAGGAGUGGAAUCUAUGAAAGAGUUCCCAUUGAUCGUGGCCGGAUUGGUGACGUCAUUCUUGACGGGGGAUGUCGUGUCAGGUUCAGAGAUUAGGGCCGAAAGCUUUACGGCGGAAUCAGAGGAGGUCUUGAUGGUGUUGUGAGAAGAGGAGACACAGGAUCCCAUCUGAAGACUCACUCGUGUCCAGCACAGAGAGCAAGAAUGAUUUGGGUUAGGAGAGAGUGGGGGGAAAUGAGUUUAGAGGAUCUAAAAGGCACAGAGAGGGAAUGAAGGAAGGAAGAUGAAGAAGCAAAGAGAGGGGCUUCAAAGCCAAGUUAAUGGUAUGACAAAAAGAGCAGUUUCGAUUUGGUAAGUGUCUUAAUUGUCUCGUUUAUUUUCAAAUAAUUUAUUAUGGCCUCUUCGUAUUGGUCCUCCUAACAUUAUGAUAUGGGCUCCCCCACACUUUAUUUGUUUUAUCUAAUCUUUCUAUUUUCUUGGUUUGUUGUUUCAAUGUUUUUUUUUGACUCCUUGCAUUUUGUCAUUCUGUUUCGUGCCGCAUGAAAUGUACGCCCCCCUCUCACAUCUAAUUUAGAAACAUCUAAUAUUUUUUGGUUCGUAAAACAAUUUUUUUUAUAACCGAGGUCAACCGACUAAUCUCACAGAAAUCAUAAAACAAAUACUAUAUUUCAUCUAGUUCUCCAUAAUUAGAACAUGGGCGAUACAAGAAAUGAUUCAUUUAGAAAUAUCUAUCAGGCUUUAGUGUUUUUAAAUUUUUUUGGUAGUUUUGGGUUGAUGAACACUCCAUCCUAGUAUAGGCUGAGAUGAUUGUGUGUAAUGAACUCUUAAAUCUUUGAUGUUUAAUUUCAAUUAUCAGAUAAUAAAAAAAAGUUGAUUCAUUUUGGACAAGAGGUUAAUGGGUGGUCAGGUCAAUCAUAACCAGAUCCAUAGUUCUUCAUCUUAAGUAAAUGGACAGCGUUUUGAUUGAAAAUAUCUACAAAGUGGGAAAAAAGAAGAAUAAAAGACAAGAGUUUCCCUUUACACUAGGACAAUGACUCUACGUUUGGUCGAGAUUCGGGUUGAAUGAAGAUCUCAGAGGUAAAGUUUGGGAUGUCAAUAUUAAUACCCUGUUCUUUUAGAAGACGGCAGCGUCUACGGCUUGCGGCCAAAUUUAUAAUUGUUUCUUGUUCACGCAUCCCGAGAAUAAUGCUGCUACCGAUGCUUUCGCCUAUCAAAAAUAGCCGCAGAUCAUUCUAACUGCCGCUACUUUUUAUAGCGUCACAGACGACGCUGAAAGCCUUGACGAAAAUAAUCGCAGCGUCAGCUUAGUUAAUUUUCCACCAUUUUUUUGUUUAUUUUGAUAUUCAGUUUUUUUUAUCGCAAGCUGCUGUGUCGGCGUCUUCUAAAAGAACAUGGGUAAUUGUAUGUGAGGGAUGAAUUGACUUUACCAUUAAUUUCAGAGAUUACAAUCCUUUGGUAAAGAAAGGUGGCAUGGAAAAUGAAGGGUUUAUCUGUGAUGUUUAAAGUUAUGAUGUAUGUGAAACUCUUAGGCUGUUUGAGCAUGGAAAUGAAAUUAACAGAUGACAAAAAAGAAAGAAAGGUGGCUAGUCCGUUUAUAAAACUGUAUAUAAAUAUAUCCCUACAUAUUAUUGCAUCAUAACCCUAAACUCAUCAAAGUUAAUAAUUCCAUCGCUAUUAAUAUCAAAUUGCGAAAUCAUAACCUCGCAUUCUUCAAGGCUUUUGGACUCCCCCAACAAACUAAGCAUCCUCUUUAAACUUUUAGGGGUGAUGCCUUCACUCUCUUCAUACAUCUUGAAAGCUUGCUUCAAGUCAUUCUCCUUGUCUUCCUCGUCUCCUUCUUCCACCAGCUUCACAAACUCCUCGAGUUCCAAGGAUUUAUGAGUAUGUGUAUCCGUUGUCUCUUCUUCAGGUACGACCUUUUCCCCGGACUUAAUAGCAUCGACACAUCGUUCGAUGGUGGAAACAGAAACAUUCCCUUGUUGGCUCUUGUCAAAGCAACUAAAUACCCUUUGAUACUCUUCACGUUUUGAAACGUUCUUGCUAUUCUUCAUAGAAUAUCAAAUAAUAGUUGAGAGAAGGGAAAAAAGAAGAAGAGAGGAUAUGAAUAUAGUAAAGAUUAUGUAUCUUCUUUCCUUGGAGCUUUGAGGCAUUAAUAGAAUGUGGAAUACUUUAUAUAUAGAAGAUUAAUGGACCAGGGAGGUUUGAUAAACUAUAUAAAAGAAAGAAACAUGUUCAUUAUAUUGGACCGUACGUUUACAUAUGUGGUCGGAGUUUCUUUACGGCGCUUCAAAGGACAAGAGACACUUAAUUCCUAAAGUUGACAAGUUUCCCAUUUUUUUCUUUGUAUAAGGAAUUGCUCGGUGAUUUCGUAACUAAGACGAGGAAGAUUCCGUUGACUUUGACUAUUCUUCUUUUGUGGUCACGAGAAUAGAUUUUCUGAUUUUGGCUAGAGUGUGGUUGGUAUUCGUUGACAUUUUGGAUCGUUGAAUACAAUUGGGCCUAUGGGAUUUGGGCCGAGCAUAUAAUAUGGGUUUGUUACUUGAACCUAGAUGCAGCUGUGAGGUAGAGAGUCAGUCAACAACGCAGUGAGUGGCAAUAUCCGUGGAUUAGUGAAAAAGGGAGGGGCAGUUAAGAGAGAGAGAGAGUCCCAUCUGUUUGUUUGUUCGUUAAACCUCAACCUCGCAUUCAUUCGAACUCUUUCUUUCUCUGUCUCCUCUCUGAAUCCGCCGCCCACGCCUUACACCAAUCACCAUGGCAUGGCUGAGCCGCGUUUCGCCGCUUUCAAGGCUCGUUGCGACGCGACGAUCUUUCGGAUCAUCGGCCGCACUUGCGUUUGACUACGACUCCGACGAGGAGUACCUGUACGGUGGCGAUCGGCGUUUGGCGGGGGAGCCGAGGCUCGGUUUGGAGAGGUCCGGGAGGGAGAGGGGAGUGCAGUGGGUGGUGAUGGGCGCGCCGGGAGCCUGGAGGCACAUCUUCGCAGAGAGGCUCUCAAGCCUUCUUGAAGUUGCUCACAUUUCCAUGGGAUCGCUCGUCCGUCAAGAGCUCAGCCCUACAUCUUCUCUCUACAAGCAGGUAUUUUUAUUUAUAAGGAGGUUACUUAAUGGUUUAAUUAGGGGUUUUUAAUUUGUUACUAAUCUUGCAUUGAUUGAUUGCAAAGUUGUUUAAAUGUUUUCCUCUUCUAAGGAAAUACUUAUCAUUUACUAAUAAGUAAUAACUAACUACAAAUGAUUAAAACAUCAUCUCCUUUUCCUGUUUUGGAAAUUCGUUUGUAAGUGUUUCUGAGCUUAUUUUAAUUCUCUUAUCUGUACAAAUAUACAGAUUGCUAGUGCUGUAAAUGAAGGAAAGCAUGUUCCCAAGGGUCUUGUGUUUGCUUUGCUAUCAAAGCGCCUUGAAGAAGGCUAUGCACGGGGAGAAUCUGGUUUCAUUCUUGAUGGCAUUCCCCGCACUCUUAUUCAAGCCGUGAGUGUGUUGCUGCUCUUUUUAUUUAGCCUCCAAAACAGCCAUUUGAUUUCCACUGUUUCUGAAUAUUACUAUUAUUCUUUUCCGCAGGAAACUCUUGAUCAAAUCGCUCAGAUUGACCUCGUCCUGAAUCUUAAAUGCUCUGAGGAGCACCGAUCUGCUCUUAGUGAAACACCUCUACCUCCCCAGGAGUUCCUCGGCUCUUCUAUCUUACACUCUGCUGUUGCAAUCAAAUCCCGGAGGAGGGAGAGCCUGAGUGUCUACGCAGAGGAGGAGGUACUAUUGCUGUUUUUUUUUAUUUUCUUCUCGUCUUAUUACUAAAUAGAAAAUAAAAUCUUAUGGGGGAUGCAUCAGGUGAAGCCCCUGGAAGAUUACUACAGGAAGCAGAGGAAACUUCUGGACUUUCAUGUCGGUGGUGCCACAUCAGCAGAAACAUGGCAGGGCCUAUUGUCAGCCUUGCAUCUGAAGCAAGCGAAGAAUUUGGCGACUUCACAGAAGCUGACUCUGUGAUGAUGAUGAACACAGCAUAGUCUUCUAAGCUUUGCUUUAUAAAUUUUGAUCCUUUUCUUUUCGUUUUGUUUUGAUGGGUCUGUUUCAGGCAGGCACCACCUAAUUUUUCUUUUGCUUUCACAAUAUGCAACUCAAAAAUUUAAGUUUUGCAAGAGAGCUCCUAAAGUGAUGAGGAUGAAACACUUAAAGCUUGUAAUGAGUCUAUAAAUAUAUAUAUAUAUAGAGAGUAAUAAUUUCCCUAUAACCGAAUGUUGUCCAUGAUUGUUAUUUAGUGGUGUUAGAAUAGAUUUGCCUUACUUGUUAUACAACCUCGUGCACGUGUCUGAUACAAACAUGUCUUUGAUACUGUUACUUGUGAUAAUUAAAGUUCGUGCUACAUAGCAACACCAACAACGAACUGGCAAAGACAUAACACCACCGUAAGUGAGAACUGAAACAGAAAAACACAUCAAUGUCUGGUUGGUUAGUCCCUGUUGGUCCAACACUCCCUGAGAAGUUGAUACCAGGUUUUUUAGAAUUAUAGUAAUGUUUAGAAUUUGAUUUCUACAUGUUUUAGAUUUAUAGUAAAUCUGUAGAAGUCGGUUUCUACAUGUUUUAGAAUUAGAUUAAUGUGUAGAUUUUGAUUUCUAAGAAUUUUAGAAUGGUAGGUUAAGCGCGGAAUGUGUAUUCUACAUAUUUGUAGAAUACUCCUAUUUACGUAGAUCACGUAUUCUAAACAUUGUAGAUUCAAUGAAAAAAGUAGAUUUCUACUUUUUUUAGAACAUAAUCUGAAAUUUAUAAUUUUAAAUUUUUUAUAACUGAAAAAUAUACCAUUAAAUUCAUAUAGGUAUUUUAACAAAUAUUACUAUUUUUCCAAUUUUUUUUUGUUUGUAAAACUAUUUAUUAAAAUUAUUUUCAUAAAUAUUAAAGAGUAUUAUAAGAAAAUAUGACACAAAAUAUAGAUUAGUCUAAAGGGCCAUAGUUACUAUUUUUUUGCUAAAAAAAACAGUUUUCCCUAGAAUAAAUGAAUAAUUAGACACAGCAUUUAUCAAUAAGCAUUUAUCAAUAGUUUAUGUUCCUAAUUUUUAAUAGUAUUGAUGCUUAUGACCCAGUAUAUGACCACUAAGUCAAUACAUCUUGAUUGGCCUGAAAAAGCAAACCACUUUACAUUUGUCGGCACUAAAGCAACCAAUCGAUCACAGCUAUUAACAACUUUAGUUACUUAAUACGCACUAUAUUCGUUUAAACUUUAAUUAUUUGUUUCUUGGACAAAAAAGUAAACUAACGCAAAGAAUUAUAUGAUCAUAUCACCUGAGGAAUCCCGAGGAGUGGAAUCUAUGAAAGAGUUCCCAUUGAUCGUGGCCGGAUUGGUGACGUCAUUCUUGACGGGGGAUGUCGUGUCAGGUUCAGAGAUUAGGGCCGAAAGCUUUACGGCGGAAUCAGAGGAGGUCUUGAUGGUGUUGUGAGAAGAGGAGACACAGGAUCCCAUCUGAAGACUCACUCGUGUCCAGCACAGAGAGCAAGAAUGAUUUGGGUUAGGAGAGAGUGGGGGGAAAUGAGUUUAGAGGAUCUAAAAGGCACAGAGAGGGAAUGAAGGAAGGAAGAUGAAGAAGCAAAGAGAGGGGCUUCAAAGCCAAGUUAAUGGUAUGACAAAAAGAGCAGUUUCGAUUUGGUAAGUGUCUUAAUUGUCUCGUUUAUUUUCAAAUAAUUUAUUAUGGCCUCUUCGUAUUGGUCCUCCUAACAUUAUGAUAUGGGCUCCCCCACACUUUAUUUGUUUUAUCUAAUCUUUCUAUUUUCUUGGUUUGUUGUUUCAAUGUUUUUUUUUGACUCCUUGCAUUUUGUCAUUCUGUUUCGUGCCGCAUGAAAUGUACGCCCCCCUCUCACAUCUAAUUUAGAAACAUCUAAUAUUUUUUGGUUCGUAAAACAAUUUUUUUUAUAACCGAGGUCAACCGACUAAUCUCACAGAAAUCAUAAAACAAAUACUAUAUUUCAUCUAGUUCUCCAUAAUUAGAACAUGGGCGAUACAAGAAAUGAUUCAUUUAGAAAUAUCUAUCAGGCUUUAGUGUUUUUAAAUUUUUUUGGUAGUUUUGGGUUGAUGAACACUCCAUCCUAGUAUAGGCUGAGAUGAUUGUGUGUAAUGAACUCUUAAAUCUUUGAUGUUUAAUUUCAAUUAUCAGAUAAUAAAAAAAAGUUGAUUCAUUUUGGACAAGAGGUUAAUGGGUGGUCAGGUCAAUCAUAACCAGAUCCAUAGUUCUUCAUCUUAAGUAAAUGGACAGCGUUUUGAUUGAAAAUAUCUACAAAGUGGGAAAAAAGAAGAAUAAAAGACAAGAGUUUCCCUUUACACUAGGACAAUGACUCUACGUUUGGUCGAGAUUCGGGUUGAAUGAAGAUCUCAGAGGUAAAGUUUGGGAUGUCAAUAUUAAUACCCUGUUCUUUUAGAAGACGGCAGCGUCUACGGCUUGCGGCCAAAUUUAUAAUUGUUUCUUGGGGGGGGGGGUGCUUAGCGUUGGACGUGAACGGGAGUAUGAUUCAUCAUCUUCCGUCGCCGCUCAGUGAAACUGCUACAAGAAACCAAACGCAGAACGCAGCUGCCUUGAGCCGACGAUUUCACCCUCUUAAGUUGUUGUCUUUCUGUAUCAUUAUUAUUAUAAGGAGUCGCCGGUGCAGAAGAUCUGACCGGUGUUCUUAGCCAGAGACAUGCUCUUGCUUUGCUUUCCGCCACGUCAUCCUCUCCUUCGUCCUCAUCUUGAUCCUGCGUCUCUUUGAAGAGUUCGAGGAGUCUCUUCUUGUUGUCUGUUGGAGACGGCUCUUCGUGUUUUUUCUCAUCUGCUUUAGGAGUUUUGUCAGAGAAUUUGUGAUGCACCGGUGUUGUUCCUCGCGACGGCGUAAAUUCUGCAAUGAAACAAGUCAAAUGUUCAGUCAUUAUUUAUUGAAAAAUAUUAUAGAUAUAUGUUACAAAGUAACUUCUCAAUAAAACGUCAUACCACCAUCAACGCUCAUGAAAUCAUCUUCACAGUCAGAAUCAAGCCACCCCCUUGAAUCGAAAAAAGUGAUCUCCUCUUUAUUUACAUUAAGAAACAAUCCAAAUCAUCAUUAUCUCAUAUAAUACUAUGUCACAACUCACAAGGAAGAGGAUAAUGGACACUUUUAAACUGUAAGGUAAAAGAAAUUGGAGGUUUUGAGUAAAUGCAGUAGCUGUACGUACCCCUAACUAACUACACCGGUUGUUCUGAUUUUUUAACAAUACGUUUCAACAUCAUACAUUUAUUAAAUGUUAUGAUUUUUUAAUAUAUGAAAGUUGCAACUUGAGGUAUGGUCCAUGUAUACAUAUCACUCUAACUGUAUAAUAUUGGUAUAUGCCUUGAAGACAUUCUAACCUCUAGCGUACGCUUCACCCUUUGCCCAUAUGAUACUACUACUAUUGUUUUGUAAAUUGAUAGAUCCCUGUUGUUACCCAUGUUUAUGACCAUCAUCAAACUAACUUUAUCAAUUUAAAAGCUCAUUUUCAUCUAACUAAUGCUUAUGACUCAGUAUAUGAUCUCUAAGUCAAUACAUCUUGAUUGGCCUGAAAAAGCAAACCACUUUACAUUUGUCGGCACUAAAGCAACCAAUCGAUCACAGCUAUUAACAACUUUAGUUACUUAAUACGCACUAUAUUCGUUUAAACUUUAAUUAUUUGUUUCUUGGACAAAAAAGUAAACUAACGCAAAGAAUUAUAUGAUCAUAUCACCUGAGGAAUCCCGAGGAGUGGAAUCUAUGAAAGAGUUCCCAUUGAUCGUGGCCGGAUUGGUGACGUCAUUCUUGACGGGGGAUGUCGUGUCAGGUUCAGAGAUUAGGGCCGAAAGCUUUACGGCGGAAUCAGAGGAGGUCUUGAUGGUGUUGUGAGAAGAGGAGACACAGGAUCCCAUCUGAAGACUCACUCGUGUCCAGCACAGAGAGCAAGAAUGAUUUGGGUUAGGAGAGAGUGGGGGGAAAUGAGUUUAGAGGAUCUAAAAGGCACAGAGAGGGA